rnacentral:lncRNA from 1 species
UUUUUGCAUUUUGGUUUAUAACUUCUCUCAGUUUUCUCUCCAACCUCUACCACACAUUGUAAUUGAGGAAGCUAAGUGAUGUAGUGGAUAGAGUGCUGGACUUAGAGUCUGAAAGUCCUGAGUUUGAUUCCUACCUCAGACAUUUACUAACUGUAUGACCUUGGGUGGAAGCGGAAGGCUGCAGAAUGCUGAGUGGAGAGGCUGGAGAGGGGGAAGAGAGCCCAAUAUUAUAUGACUUCAAAGGGGUUUUUUACUCAGGAGAUGUUUAUAAAACAUGUGGAAUAAUUGACUUCCUGCCUUCGCUUCCCCAUAUUCUUACAUGGAAGAAAAGUUUAUGAAGAACUUCCCAAUCAUAAUCCAACUUGAUCCUUAUGACAGCCCAGGAGGAAAGCAGGGACAAUGAGAGGCAGUGAAGCUAAGCAGAUAGAAGUCCUAUCUUCUUAUCAAGAACCAGUUUCAAAUUUGACUCUGAUACAUCAUACUAUACCCCAGGUAUGUCUCAGUGCUCCAGAAAAUUUUCCAAGACUAUCAAGUACCUAACUCUCCCCCCAUAAAGAU